rnacentral:tRNA from 2 species
GCGGGCGUAGCUCAGUCGGUAGAGCGUCAGCCUUCCAAGCUGAACGUCGUCGGUUCGAAUCCGAUCGCCCGCU